rnacentral:misc_RNA from 1 species
GGUUUUCACUCUUUUGGUUCUGCUUCUUUAAAUGAAGAAGUAUUAGCUCUACUAUUGAUAAAAGCUGGAGUUGUAUAAAUGGAGUUGUUCAAUCAAAGAAUGUUAAAGAUUUCCUUUUUAAUGGUAUUUUCUCUGGGUGAUUUUUUUAUUUUUUUAUUGAUAGUGUGACUUCUUUUUCUUCGAUAAUCCAAUGCUGUGGCCUUUGAGUUGCAGUCCUGGAGAUGUCAAGCAAUAGAUAGGAGGAAGGGCAGGAGAAUCUGACAGUAUUGAGAACGAGGGUAGCGGACGAGGAAUCGAGUAGUAUUACAACAAUGUAAGUGGGUCUGGGUUGAGGCCUUUGCCACCAAGCAUACCGAAAUUUUUACUGGGACGUGGGCUCGAAAGGAGAGAGGUUUGACAUCUCCAUGUAAAAGAGAUAAUAUAAGGGAGUGAUUUUUUUUUAUUUAUUUAUUUUAUUUAAGAUGUCAUAUGAAUUAGUCAUGUCAGCACAUAGCGGAAGCUAUUGCAGAAAAUUAGACAAUGUGAUUUCAUUGUUGAAUAAAUUAAAAUUUAAUUAUUU